GAAUUUUUUCAAGGCUGAUCAACACGGUAUACAUAUGCCCUAUACAUAUAUAAAGAUCGUCUUUUAACUUGACCACUUCAUGAAAAACUUUCAAAGUUGUAAUUUCUCGCUUAUUAUUUUUUAACAAAUUACACCAACUUACCAAUUGUUUCUCGUUCGAUAUUUCAAGCGAAAAUUAAAAGAUGUCUCUAAGAUUUUUACUGAUUCUGUUUGCUGUUGGUCUGUUGGCUGUGGUCACUUUUGCCUUCGACGAAGAAAACCAAUGUGUCGAGGCAGGUGAAGACUGUAGUCGUUUUACGGGUUCAGCACCAUGUUGUGAAGGUUUUGAGUGUCUGAUUGACGAUGAGCAAAUCGGAAGUACUGGUGAAUGUCAAAACAAUACGCUACCUAUGGACCGAUAAAACGAAUUCGUGAAAAUUCGCUAAUUGCAGUGAAAAGUACAUCAUUAUUUCCAAUAUCUGACAUACUUCUCACUACAAAUUAGUUAAUAUUCACUAAUUAUGGUCAACUUUCAUUAAUCCAUUAUAAAAAUUUAUAUAUAAUUUGUUAACAUGUUGAGUUUCACAUUUUGGAGAUGUUUCAAUAAAAUGUGAUAACUUAUAAUUUUUAUCAAUAAAUAUUAAAAUAUAUAUAUA